rnacentral:other from 1 species
ACGACAAGGAUUGCGACAGUAGACGGGAUGUCUGCUGGUUAGGAUGACAUAAGGACCCCUUCAGGACGAAGGCAAGGACACCUCCGGGAUAGAGGCUUAAAGGAUUCACUUCAGGACGAAGUUAGGGACACCUCCAGGUAAGGAAGAGAGAGUCGGAACAGGAUGCUUCGACGGGUCAGGGAACUACCGAAGGACACCUCUGGGAUAGAGGGUAGGGAUUACCGUUAAAGGACAUAGCGUUUCCAGGAUGGAUGCAGGGAGCACCUCAGUAGCAGGAUGGCUGCAAGUAAGACCUAAGGGCGUGACGAGAGUCACGCCCGUUCUUUUUUGG